GGUCUGAGAGGAUGAUCAGCCCACACUGGGACUGAGACACGGCCCAGACUCCUACCGGGAGGCAGCAGUGGGGAAUAUUGGACAAUGGGGCGCAAGCCUGAAUCCAAGCCACGCCGCGUGAGUGAUGAAAGGCCUUCGGGUUGUAAAAGCUCUGUGGGGAGGGACGAAAACGUUGCACAAAGAAACGGUGCAGCCUUGACGGUACCUCCUUAGCAAGCACCGGCUAAACUCUGUGCCAGCAGCCCGCGGUAAUACAGAGGGUGCGAACGUUGCUUCGGAAUUACUGGGCGUAAAGCGCGGUGUAGGCGGAUCCAUAAGUCGGGCGUGAAAGCCCCAGGCCUCAACCUGGGAACUGCGUUCGAAACUGUGGGUCUUGAGUGUCGGAGAGGAUGGCGGAAUUCCUGGUGUAGAGGUGAAAUUCGUAGAUAUCAGGAGGAACACCGGUGGCGAAGGCGGCCAUCUCGGACGACAACUGACGCUGAGACGCGAAAGCGUGGGGAGCAAACAGGAUUAGAUACCCUGGUAGUCCACGCCGUAAACGAUGGGUGCUUAUUCUCGGGUAUUGACCCCUGAGGUGCCGUAGCGUUAACGCGUAAGCACCCCGCAUGCAGAUA
rnacentral:rRNA from 1 species